CCGGGAAACUGGGGAUAAUACUCCAUAGGGUAGAGUGGCUGGAAUGCCUUCUACCCCAAAGUUCCGGCGCCUUAGGAUGGAUCUGCGGCCGAUUAGGUCGUUGUUGGGAUAACGGCCCAACAAGCCUGUAAUCGGUACGGGUUGUGGGAGCAAGAGCCCGGAGAUGGACUCUGAGACACGAGUCCAGGCCCUACGGGGCGCAGCAGGCGCGAAAACUUUACAAUGCGGGAAACCGUGAUAAGGGAACCCCGAGUGCCCGUACACGCGGGCUGUCCAGGUGUUUAAAACGCAUCUGAAGAAAGGGCCGGGCAAGACCGGUGCCAGCCGCCGCGGUAAUACCGGCGGCUCGAGUGGUGACCAUUUUUAUUGGGCUUAAAGCGUUCGUAGCUGGAUUGUUAAGUCUCUUGGGAAAUCUCACGGCUCAACCGUGAGGCGUCUAAGGGAUACUGGCAAUCUAGGGACCGGAAGAGGUGAGAGGUACUCCUGGGGUAGGAGUGAAAUCCUGUAAUCCUAGGGGGACCACCUGUGGCGAAGGCGUCUCACCAGGACGGCUCCGACAGUGAGGGACGAAAGCUGGGGGAGCAAACCGGAUUAGAUACCCGGGUAGUCCCAGCCGUAAACGAUGCGCGUUAGGUGUAUCAGCGACCACGAGUCGCUGAGGUGCCGAAGGGAAACCGUGAAACGUGCCGCCUGGGAAGUACGGUCGCAAGGCUGAAACUUAAAGGA
rnacentral:rRNA from 1 species